rnacentral:rRNA from 1 species
UACAGAGGGUGCAAGCGUUGCUCGGAAUUAUUGGGCGUAAAGGGUAGGUAGGUGGUCUCAUUUGUCAGGGUGAAAGCCCUGGGCUUAACCCAGGAAGUGCCCUUGAAACGGUGGACUAGAGUAUUGGAGAGGGUCGUGGAAUUCCCGGUGUAGCGGUGAAAUGCGUAGAGAAUCGGGAGGAACAUCUGAGGCGAAGGCGGCGGACCUGG